rnacentral:rRNA from 1 species
UACGUAGGGUGCAAGCGUUGUCCGGAAUUAUUGGGCGUAAAGGGCUCGUAGGCGGUCUGUUGCGUCGGUAGUGAAAACUCAGGGCUUAACCCUGAGCCUGCUUCCGAUACGGGCAGACUAGAGGUAUGCAGGGGAGAACGGAAUUCCUGGUGUAGCGGUGAAAUGCGCAGAUAUCAGGAGGAACACCGGUGGCGAGGGCGGUUCUCUGGGCAUUACCUGACGCUGAGGAGCGAAAGUGUGGGGAGCGAACAGG